GAAGAGGUGCCUCCUGCCAUGACUGUAAGUUUUCUGAGGCCUCUCCAGCCAUAUGAAAUAUACUCUUGAAGUUCACACACAGAAUAUCCAUACCUUGCACACUAAGAAGAUGAAAAACUCUUGAUGUUAUUUCCAUUCGUGAACUCGUGGAAGAGCUUCCUGUUUAUAAAAAGAAAAUCAGAAGACAAGAGUCUCAUUCUGUCACCCAGGCUGUAACGCAGUGGCGUGAUCAUGGCUCACUGCAGCCUGGAACUCCUGGGCUCUGGUGAUCCUCUCACAUCAGCCUCCUGGGGUAGCUGAGACUACAGUACACCUCCCAAGAAGUUCUCUGGCUCAAAACACACGUAAACUGAAGAAAGAGAAGAAAAUGGGGAACGUUUUGCUAAAUAAUUCCACAAAAUAAACUCUGCUUUGACCCAGCUGAAGUGAAUUACUAGGUGAAUGUGUUUUGCAUACAAUUUUUCUUAAUAGAAAAAUCAAUUUCUCCCUGGCCCCAAGAAAUAAAUAUUGAAUAAAUAGUUGUUUAAAUAUCCUUUUUAAGGGGUGACAAAAUGUUAGCUUGCCUUGCAGGCCCUCAUUCUCAGCAUGCUCACGCAAGCCCCUGUGGUUUUUCAUACAUACUUUCCUCUCCAUGAAACAAGAUACAUUUCCCUCUUGCUAUUGCCUAUUCAGCUUAAAUAGCACUCCUUUAAGGAGACCUUCCAUCAUUUAUAUAUCAGGUAGGUUCCUCUCUAUACUCUUCUAUCUUUCUAUACUUCUCCUAUCAUUAUAUUGUGUAUCUGUCCUAUUUAUUGUAUAUU
rnacentral:lncRNA from 1 species